rnacentral:rRNA from 1 species
UACAGAGGUCUCAAGCGUUGUUCGGAUUCAUUGGGCGUAAAGGGUGCGUAGGUGGCGCGGUAAGUCGGGUGUGAAAUUUCGGAGCUUAACUCCGAAACUGCAUUCGAUACUGCCGUGCUUGAGGACUGGAGAGGAGACUGGAAUUUACGGUGUAGCAGUGAAAAUGCGUAGAGAUCGUAAGGAAGACCAGUGGCGAAGGCGGGUCUCUGGACAGUUCCUGACACUGAGGCACGAAGGCCCAGGGGGAGCAAAACGGGG